AUAACCUACGGGGCGCAGCAGUGGGGAAUAUUGCGCAAUGGACGAAAGUCUGACGCAGCGACGCCGCGUGAGGGAUGAAGGCUUUCGGAUCGUAAACCUCUGUCAGGAGGGAAGAAAGCGUAUGGCGCCAAUCAGCCAUGCGUUGACGGUACCUGACUAAGAAGCACCGGCUAAAUACGUGCCAGCAGCCGCGGUAAUACGUAUGGUGCAAGCGUUAUCCGGAUUUACUGGGUGUAAAGGGAGCGCAGGCGGCGCGUUAAGCCUGGUGUGAAAGCCCGCGGCCCAACCGCGGGACUGCAU
rnacentral:rRNA from 1 species